CCUAACUCUAUGUCUCGGUAUCUGCUCUCCACAGUACACAACCGAUACAGUUUUCUACAGCAAAGGCUUUAAGGGAGACACUAGCUAGGAGCGUUUGCUUUUACUGACAUGCAUAUAUAUUGCAUGAUCAUGUAUAUGGCUGAAGUCCACUACGGGGAAAAAUUGUUAGUAAAUGUUGUAACUGAGCUUUCGAUUGAUGGAGUAGUGAUUAGACUUGUGAGAGCAUGAAAGUGUUUCUGUCAUAUAGGACCAUAUAUUUGAGAAUGAAUUUGAGACAUGUAUAGUGUGAAAAUGCUUUACAUUAAAAAAAUUUUUUUUACAAGCAGCAUUAAUCAAUGUAGAAAACCACAUGAUAUCAUUAGUUUAUAAUACUGAUACUAAUGGCUAUCAUUUGAGUACUGAGUUGAUGCAGGAAAUGUGCUAAGCCCUUUACAUACAUUACCCCAUUUAGUUCUAAAGGCUAAUGUCCAAACAAUAUUAAUUCAUGAAUUAGUUAAUUGCUCCUAAGAGUUUCAGCUUUAGCCAGGAAGUACAUUAGCACUAGAUGUGGAAAUUGCUAUCCUGGCUAUAUAAUGAGUGUGUUCAUUCAGAUGUUAGUGUAUAAUAGUAGAUCUUGGGAACAGAAAUACCAUGGCAUUUAUUAGCUUAGUCCAGUAAAGUGUAUACCAUAGGAUAAUUAUGAACUUUCCAACUACAUUAUUUUAGAAAAAAAUACUAUUUUCCUCAUGUGAAAAAAAAUCGCAUUUCUAAUAGAUGACUUGGGAAAUUAUGAUGCAAUAAAUCUGUGUUCAAUUUACACCAUUUCUAUCCACGUAUUUCUUUUAAAAUCUGAUUCCCUUCCCCUGCUAGUGAUUAUUCUAAUCCUUAGGCCAGAAUAACUCCACGUGCUAGUUUAUUAACGGGGAACAUCUGCCCUCAUGAUGGUCCUGAGGGCUGUUAACCUGAGGGAUGUGCCCCAGCUGCUGGUUUCCUUGGUAACUGAUAAGCCAACCUGAUGUCUGUUCCUCCUAUAAAUGGUAGCCUCCUUCUCCCCCAACUAGUAAAGAUCACUGCCAGGUCCUUGUUGCAGUGGGUUGCUGUCUGCCAUGGAAUGUUUGCUCCAGGACCUUUUGCUUCAGACAUGUAAGAUCCCCUUGCCAAUAAGCCAUUGAUGUGUCUUUCACCAUCCCUGGGCUCUUUCUUCAGUCUUGAGGCUGGGAAACUACAAGGCUAAUAGGCCUGCAGAGUGCAGCCCAAUGGGGAGAAUAUCAAGAAUGGGAAAACUGGCUGAGAGUUCCAUCAACACUACCAGAUCCCAAAGCAGGGCUUUCUGGCUAUUUGGAGUGGGAUUAGACUUUGUCAAAUGCUUUUCCUGUGUCAGCUGAUACUAUCAUUGUUUUUGUUUCUUUUUUUUUUUCUUCUUUAGGCUUGUUUAUAUGGUGGAUUACAUUGAUUUUUUAAAAUAUUUAAUUGGCCUUGCAUAUAUGGAAUAAAUUGCACUUGGUUAUGUUAUAUGCUUUUUACACAUUGUUGCGUUUGAUUUGUUAAUAUUUUGUUGAGGAUUCCGCAUCUAAGUUCUUGAGACAGAUUGGUGUGUAGGUUUCCUUUCUGUACUAUCUUUGCCUGGUUUUGGUGUUGGGGUAAUACUGGUUUUACAAAAGAGAUGAGAAGUGCCCCCCUUUUCUUCUAUUUUCUGGACAAGAUUAUGUAAAACUGACAUUAAUUUUUUAAAUGUUUGGUAUGGUACUUUCUGGGCCUGAAGAUUCUCUUUUGGACUUUCAAAUUACAAAUUUCAUGGUUAAAAAAAAUCAAAUAGAUUUUUCAUGCAGGUUGAACUUUGGUAUUUUGUGGGUUUUCCCCUGGUUGCUUUGAAAGGAGAGGAAAACAUUCAAUCAGAGGGUCACAUAUAAUAUGAAGAGGUUACUAGUAAUUUGAAACAUUUGUAAAAGUAUCUUCCACUCAGAAUUUUUUAUUAUGGAUUAUUAAUCAGGAAUUUAAAGCAUUGCUAAGUGCAAUGUUGAGGAUUUAAUUGGCUUUUCCUUCUUUUAGCCCAAAUUUCUGGUUUUUAUUUGCUCUCUUUUCAGAUUAUUGAAAGUAAAUGAUUCAACUUUUAUGCACCCAAACCCUAAAAUCCUAAUGAGCAUUUCACCUGAAAUCAUACAUGGAGUCUAGAAAAUAAAAACCUCCUCUGCUGUUAAAAUACUACUUCAGAUACGUAUUUGCUAUUUUACAGCUGUAUUGAUCUUGCACACAAAUACAAACAUCAGGAUGAUCAUACCUUCCACUGAUGAUGAGCAUUUUAAAAAAAUGCAUAUAUCCAUCUUACAUCCAGGAAUGUUUCCUUUUUUUACAUCUCUGAGUUGUAUGGAGGUAUUUUUUCUGCGUGGUCUUGAUUUUAUGGAAGGCAGUGGAUAGCUUAGUGCCUGAAGCAAUACAUACUGUAAAUUGCAGUAAAUCAAAUUAACUUCAUUACAAUGCUUCUGAGAAAAGUUAAUCAGAGAAUAAAAAUCUCAUUUUCAUUAUUGAAAAUGAAAAUUUCAGAUUGUGUAAUAUGAUACUGAAUAGAAAAAAAUAAAAGGCCAAUUGUUUGUGAGUACAUUGAGGAAGGGUAAAAGCUGUCUCUACUUUGUUCAAUUAAAAGUACUUGACCAAAGAACCACAGUGUUCCCCCUUCUAAGACAGAUUAGAGAAUCCUCAGUGGGAAUGUGUUCAGUUUUCACUUGAGUCAUUUUCUGGAAGCUUGGAGUGUGCUUGUCAUGGUGUUAAACAGAGCACCAAUGUAACUUUGCUUUGAAUUCAAGUGUUGUUAUCUGCUGAUUGAAAAUUAAAAAGUGCAUUGAGGGUGCUCUCAAAAACACCCAUUAUUAACUUCAGAAAACAUGGGUCUGAGGCAAGAAUAUUUUUAGUUUUGCCUAUUAUUAUAACACACAAUAAUUCAUGAUUUGUGACUUACAUGGUUUUUCAUCAUAGAAAUUUAAAAUUAUGCAAUUUAAUAGGGUUUAUGAAAAUAUCCAAUUAUCCGUGAGCCUCCAAAUGUUCUAAAAAUGGAACCCAAUCAUCAGAGUAGCAAAUGAUACUGGGAAAGAGACAUUUAAUUCCAUGACCCAGCAUCUCAGUAUGAUGCUUUUCUUGUCUGUUUAGUCUCAGUGCCUUUCAGAGGGCUGCCACACAGAAGGCACUCAAAAAUACAUUGGUCAUUAAAUAAACAAUUACAGAUCACAUAGCUUUUAAUUGUUUUUCUCAGAGGGUCUAGGUGCCUCCCACACAAAUGAAUGAUAUAUAAUACAGGAUCACAUUAAUGAUUUUAGUCAAACAGAAUGAAAUGGAAUAAGCAGUGGCUUGGGUCACUGCUGUGACAUGUUAUUCGAUCCCUGGCCUGGGAACUUCCACAUGCCUCAGGCAUAGCCAAAAAAAAUUUUUUUUAAAGAAUGAAAAAGUUUAGAAAUGGAAAAAAAACCAUUUGGUUAAUGUAUGGAUUUGCUUCCAUGUCAGCUUAAAGUGUAGUGAAUCAUAAACACUUAAACAAUUCAGUAUGAUGGCAUUUUUAAAUCUACCUUUUGCCUUAGGCAUCUCACCCUCAGCUGAAUCAUGUACUGACUAGGCUGCUAUUAAUAAUCCUUAGAUAAUAAUUACUGAGAUUUUUGCUUUAUACUGCAAAAACUGCAUACCACCUCAAAUGGCUUGGACAACUAUAGUCUAACACUGAAAGUAGCUCCUUUCCAAAAUUAUUUUUUCUAAAUAAUUGCCCAAGAAACAUGUUGGAGAGUAAGUGUACACUGGAGCUGGUGCACUGUCCUGAGCUGGAAGUUACAGAUUGCAAAUGGCAGCUGCCUAUUCCUAUUCCAUGCCUGGGUGUUCCCCCUCCCGCUGCUACUGUUCCCUUGUCUGCUGCCUGCAGGGUCCUUAAGGUUGGCUGCUGCCCAACUUCCUCCUUUAGGGCUGGCCCUGCUAUGGCUGAUCACAGAAUCAGGCCCUACUCAGAAUGUGGCCAACCUCAUUCCUAGGGCCAUACACCUGGGCUCUCCAUCACAUGCCUCCUGUGGGAAAACACUUAGCUUCAUUCAAGUAGCUAGAAAGAACGUGGAGCCUGGCACUGCGGAAUAGCCUGUAGUUGCAGCAAUGAUGCCAACGCAAUGGGAGUUGCCUUGCCUCAGGCUAACAGCCCCUCUUAUUUGUGUUUAAAGCUGGCUGAGGAAUACCAGGAUGGCUGCGGCAUGUUGAAGCCAUAAUUCUUGACUGCUUCAAAGUACAUCUUAGAGAAAAGUGUGAACAGCAGGAGUUUGGAAAAGAACUCUACCCCCAUAUUUUCAUUUGUUUGAUUGUAUUUCCAAACUUAUAAAAUAAAAUUUUAAAAAGAAAUGCGGGAGUUCCCUUCGUGGCUCAAUGGUUAAGGAACCCGACUAGUAUUAAUGAGGAUGCCGGUUCAAUCCCUGGCCUCGCUCAGUGGGUUAGGAAUCUGGUGUUGCUAUGAGCUGUGGUGUAGGUCACAGACACAGCCCAGACGCCACAUUGCUGUGGCUGUAGUAUGGGGUGGCAGCUGCAGCUCUGAUUCAACCCCUAGCCUGGAAACUUACAUAUGCCACGGGUGUGGCCCUAAAAAAGCAAAUAAAUAAAUAAAUGAAGAUAUGCACUUACUAUGUGGAAUUUUUAAUUUAAAAUGAACCCCAAAUGUGAGCAUAUUGGUGAUAAUCUUUGGUUAGUUUAAAACAUUCCCUUUGAGGAGUUCCCGUCAUGGCUCAGUGGUUAGCGAAUCCAACUAGGAACCAUGAGGUUUUGAGGGUUCGAUCCCUGGCCUUGCUCAGUGGGUUAAGGAUCUAGCAUUGCCGUGAGCUGUGGUGUAGGUUGCAGACAUGGCUUGGAUCCCUUGUUACUGUGGCUCUGGCAUAGGCCAGUGGCUACAACUCCGAUUAGACCCCUAGCCUGGGAAUCUCCAUAUGCCUCAGGAACGGCCCUAGAAAAGACCCCC
rnacentral:lncRNA from 1 species